rnacentral:lncRNA from 1 species
AAAUAUUAAGACAAAUAAGGAUGAAGACUUUUUAUGUGCUCUUACUCCUGGUUCUAUGUUCUGUUGCUCUAACCUCGGGGAAAAAAUUCCUAAUACAAACCAUGGAUACUCAGCCUCCUCCACCUCCACCUCUGAAACCUGGGGAUGGAACUGGGAAUGGAACAACGGGAGAAGAUUACAUUCUGGAAUUGUUUGGUUGGGGGGUUGCAUUGGCGUUAUUUGGAAAAUAAUGUGAUAAUAACAUGCAUCAAUAAAUUCUGGUUUUGGGUCAUUUAAAAAAAAAA